CUGCCAUAACAGAAAUGUGCCACGAGAAUGGCAGGGUGGCGGGGAAAGCUGUCCGGGUGGUCGGCACGGUGAUCAUACAGUAAGACAACAAAGGAGGGGAGAAAAGAGAAGAGGCACUGAGUCAACCGGGACUCAGGAAAGUGGAAGAUAUGGACGUGACUGAACUUCUGCUGAAACUUCAUGGACUGUCUGUUACGCUCUGAGCACAGCUUGUGGUCUGGACGUGCUCAGCAGAUGACUCAAGGUCUGCACAUGCUCAGAGGAUGACUCGAGGUCUGGACAUUUUCAGAGGACAGUUCAAGAUUCAAGCAUGUUCAGAGGGCAAUUUGAGGUCUAGGCAUGUUCAGAGGACAGUUCAAGGUUGGGGCAUGUUCAGAGGGCAAUUUGAGGUCUGGGCAUGUUCAGAGGGCAAUUUGAGGUCUGGGCAUGUUCAGAGGGCAAUUUGAGGUCUGGGCAUGUUCAGAGGGCAAUUUGAGGACUGGGCAUGUUCAGAGGGCAAUUUCAGGUCUGGGCAUGUUCAGAGGGAAAUUUGAGGUCUGGGCAUGUUCAGAGGGCAAUUUGAGGUCUGGGCAUGUUCAGAGGGCAAUUUGAGGACUGGGCAUGUUCCGAGGGCAAUUUGAGGUCUGGGCAUGUUCAGAGGGAAAUUUGAGGUCUGGGCAUGUUCAGAGGGCGAUUUCAGGUCUGGGCAUGUUCAGAGGGCGAUAUCAGGGCAAUCUGUUCAUAGGAGGGCAGUCUGGAGCAUUCAGGACAUGGCAACAAGUUCAAAACCCCUAAGAGCCUUGUGUUGUACUUUGGAACAAUGCACUUCUCCUGAAUUACUUUAGCAAAAUAUCUAGUAAAUAAGCCUGACUCACAGUGACAUCCAGCCAGUGGCCGAGAGAAAGGUCACCUGGACGAGAGCCACUCUUCACAGAGCCUUGAGAGGCUUUCAGGUCCGUCGGGAUGAGCGCGUGCACAAUAAAUGGCGUCUGAAGAAACCACAAGGGCCCUUCGAACCUCAUCGGGAAGGACGGGCACGGAAAACAGAAGCUUCCUGAGAUCGCCUCUCCUGGGCCUUCAACAAACUCUGUGAAUCCUGAGGUAAUAUUCUGCUGAUCAAUUAUUCUUUAUCUUCAUUUCCAAGGUUGGAGACGAUAGAAAUGUCAGGCACCGGCACCACAUGUGGUCCUGGCUCUUCUGUGAGACAGACUCCUUCUGAAAUUCUAAUUUGGAAUGACCUCAUGUAAGGAUUCCGUGACACGGCCCCAGAAGUCUCCUCUAAUAUCCUAAGACGCUGGACUUCAGAGCGACUCGCCUGAUUCCACCGUGGCAGCGCAUGACUGGCAGGGGGACGCGGCAGGAAUGUAAAGCUGAGAGUCGGGCCGCACAUGGUGCUGUUUGUAGUGUUUAAUUUCCUUCUAAAUGAUCAACAAUCUGCUUAACAAGAACGGAAAGGAAAAACACGCAGGAAAAAAAAAACAUGACAAUUGUAAUGAAAGAAGACUUUUGAUUUCUCUGUCAUGCUUUCCGUUUACAGUACAGAAAGCUUAUGAGGACUUCCUGUUUUGUCUGAUAUCAUUAGUUAUUUUAUUCAAACUCAAUGCAGACUUUUUGCCUUGUUUUGAUGAAGUGCUUGCGAACAAUGAGCAGAAGGUAAUACAUCAUUUUCAUUUAUCCUUGUCAUGUUGACUGCUGAUCCCCCUGUGGAGCACGAUGUCUCGCUGGCUUUUGUUGUUGUAGGCCGAACCCCCCCCCCCCCCUCCCAGCUCUCUGGGUGUCUAAUAUAUGCUUCACCCGGAGCUCAUGAACUCUCUCUCCCUGCUCCCAUCUGAUUGGCUGAAUGCAUGCUGGUCCUCAGUAAUCCUCCAGUAAGAAUUGUUCUCAACCGGU